UGGUGGGGUGACUUGUCUGCUUAAUUGCGAUAACGAACGAGACCUUAACCUGCUAAAUAGCCCGCAUUGCUCCGGCAGUGCGCUGGCUUCUUAGAGGGACUUUAGGCUCAAGCCGAAGGAAGUUUGAGGCAAUAACA
rnacentral:rRNA from 1 species